rnacentral:tRNA from 1 species
GUCUAGUAGCUCAGUGCUUAAAGCGCUAGCAUGAUAUGCUAGAGACCCUGGGUUCGAGACCCAGUUGAUACA